UAGAUACCCCACUAUGCCUAGCCUUAAAUCUUGACACUUCCUAGACCAAAGUGUCCGCCUGAGAACUACGAGCACAAACGCUUAAAACUCUAAGGACUUGGCGGUGCCUCAAACCCACCUAGAGGAGCCUGUUCUAUAAUCGAUAACCCACGCUACACCCAACCGCUCUUUGCUUGCUCAGCCUACAUACCGCCGUCGCCAGUCCACCUAUCUUGAAAGAAUAACAGUGAACACAACAGCCUCAACCACGCUAAAAAGACAGGUCAAGGUAUAGCCCAUAGAGCGGAAGAAAUGGGCUACAUUUUCUAUACUAGAAAAUUACGAAAGGGGGCAUGAAAUUCCCCCCAGAAGGCGGAUUUAGCAGUAAAGUUGAACCACAAUGCCAUCUUAAAGCUGGCCCCGGGGCACGUACAUACCGCCCGUCACCCUCCUCGUAAGCUAUCAACAUAAGUAACUAACACCAAUUUCUCAGCCAAAGACGAGGUAAGUCGUAACAGGGUAAGUGUACA
rnacentral:rRNA from 1 species